rnacentral:rRNA from 1 species
GAGUAAUGCCUAGGAAUCUGCCUGGUAGUGGGGAUGACGUUCGGAAACGGACGCUAAUACCGCACACGUCCUACGGGAGAAAGCAGGGGACCUUCGGGCCUUGCGCUAUCAGAUGAGCCUAGGUCGGAUUAGCUAGUUGGUGGGGUAAUGGCUCACCAAGGCGACGAUCCGUAACUGGUCUGAGAGGAUGAUCAGUCACACUGGAACUGAGACACGGUCCAGACUCCUACGGGAGGCAGCAGUGGGGAAUAUUGGACAAUGGGCGAAAGCCUGAUCCAGCCAUGCCGCGUGUGUGAAGAAGAUCUUCGGAUUGUAAAGCACUUUAAGUUGGGAGGAAGGGUUGUAGAUUAAUACUCUGCAAUUUUGACGUUACCGACAGAAUAAGCACCGGCUAACUCUGUGCCAGCAGCCGCGGUAAUACAGAGGGUGCAAGCGUUAAUCGGAAUUACUGGGCGUAAAGCGCGCGUAGGUGGUUAGUUAAGUUGGAUGUGAAAUCCCCGGGCUCAACCUGGGAACUGCAUUCAAAACUGACUGACUAGAGUAUGGUAGAGGGUGGUGGAAUUUCCUGUGUAGCGGUGAAAUGCGUAGAUAUAGGAAGGAACACCAGUGGCGAAGGCGACCACCUGGACUGAUACUGACACUGAGGUGCGAAAGCGUGGGGAGCAAAC